UGUAAACGAUGUCGAUUUGGAGUUUGUUGCCUAGAGUGAUGGGCUCCGAAGCUAACGCGAUAAAUCGACCGCUGGGGAGUACGGCCGCAAGGUUAAAACUCAAAUGAAUUGACGGGGGCCCGCACAGCGGUGGAGCAUGUGGUUUAAUUCGAUGCAACGCGAAGGACCUUACCUGGUCUUGACAUCCAUAGAAUUCUGCAGAGAUGUGGGAGUGCCCUCGGGAACUAUGAGACAGGUGCUGCAUGGCUGUCGUCAGCUCGUGUUGUGAAAUGUUGGGUUAAGUCCCGCAACGAGCGCAACCCUUAUUCUUUGUUGCCAGCGAUUUGGUCGGGAACUCAAAGGAGACUGCCGUUGAUAAAGCGGAGGAAGGUGGGGACGACGUCAAGUCAUCAUGGCCCUUACGACCAGGGCUACACACGUGCUACAAUGGCGUAUACAAAGGGAAGCGAAGGUGCGAGCUGGAGCGGAUCUCAUAAAGUACGUCUAAGUUCGGAUUGGAGUCUGCAACUCGACUCCAUGGAGUCGGAAUCGCUAGUAAUCGUAGAUCAGAAUGCUACGGUGAAUACGUUCCCGGGCCUUGUACACACCGCCCGUCACACCAUGGGAGUGGGUUGCACCAGAAGUAGAUAGCUUAACCGCGAGGGGGGCGUUUACCACGGUGUGAUUCAUGACUGGGGUGAAGUCGUAACAAGGUAACCA
rnacentral:rRNA from 1 species